ACGUCAAAACAGGGGACAAAGGGUGAGAAACAGCAGUGACGCAAGUACAAGAUCAGCAGGUGCAGCCUGGGCGUGGUCGGGGAGGAGCCCCGCCCAGCCAGGAGGGGGACGAGGCAGGACACAGGAGCGACUGCACAGCGUGUCACCUUCAAGGAGUAAGGAGGAGUUCAGGAGAAGAAAAAAGGCACAAUCACUUUUCACGUGCUCAGAAGCAAGCAGGAUGGAGAGAGCAGAUGCACAGACGGGGCUCGUGAGAGUCUGCCGAGGGGAGCAGAGCACGGGCGACACUGUCGCGCUGGGCCCAGGGGCUGCCGCGUCCUCCCAGUGCCGGAGCAGGCACGCGCAGGGGCAGAAACUGAUCAUUGUGCAACAUCUUCCCUACGGAAUGACCUUGAACACACAUCUGUCUCUUCUGGCCAGGCGCUGAAAGCAAAGGGCUUAUUUGAAGCAGGUAAAGAAUCGUCUCCACCCUCUCUCUCUCCAGCGGGAAGAACCGCGCUGGGAUGCAAAACUGCAGCGCAUCUCUCUCCCUGCCAGUCCUCGAGGAGGAAACACGGGCAGGAAUUACACUGGGAGUGUGAUACAGGAGAACUUCCUUUAAAAAACACACUCGCAGAUGGGCACAUCUGAGGGAACGAGCAGUGUUAAAAAAAAAAAUCCAACAACAACAACAAAACCCACACACGCACACUGUUGAUUGAAAUUUACCAUUUUGGAACUGUCCAAAAAUCUCUCACUGCCAGAGACAUGUCAAAAAAACAAAAUAAACUGCUGUCGCGGGCCA